rnacentral:snRNA from 1 species
GCCUGCUUUGGCAGCGCAUAUACUAAACCUGGACCGAGACGAUUAGCAUGGUCCCUGCACAAGGAUGACAGGCAAAUUCAUGAAGCAUUCCAUAUUUUG